AUGGGCCCUGGCUGCGCCUGGGGGUGCUCCGAGGAGAGCACAACCCGCCAGGGCGCGCCAGGAGGCCCGGGCGCGCCCUGGUGGGUUGUGCCCGCCUCGGGUGCCCCCCGGACCACCUCUUUGCUCGACUUUGUCUACCCACUACUCUUUUAGGAAUAUAUUUAUGCAUUUGCCCACCAUUAUGGAUUAAAUGGUUCUGAACUUGUGGAAAUAGGUUUUAGUUGUAAUAACAAGAAAUUUAGUUCACCACUUGUGAAACAUUUAAUUAUAAGUACCCCAAUAUUCCAGAAACCCUAG
rnacentral:rRNA from 1 species